rnacentral:lncRNA from 1 species
GAUACCUUUUGUGAUGAGAAAACAAUAUUUAUGGAGCCUAUGCAAAGAAAGAGGAUUUAUUUUUUUUCUGGCUAUGGCUAGAAUACUACAGCUGUAAAUGGAAUGCUUACAUUGAGAAGGCAGUGAAACCUGAAAGUACAGACCUGACCUACCUGCUAGAGCUGAGCUUACAGCAGCGAAGGAGCUCUCAAGGAAAAAAAGAAAAGAAAAGAUAACACGAAGUGUUAAAGAGGGAACAUUUCUAAGGGUCAGGGAGAGGUGUGUGAAGGAGAAAGAGUUUGUUUCAGCUCAGCAAAUACCUAUUUAUCACCUGCUCUAUACUAAGCAUUGAGCUUCACAGCAAGAUAGAGAAUAAGAACAUGCUUGAACCUACCCCUGGAUGAAAGGAGAGAGGAGAAAUGAGAAUGUUGAUGCCGUGGGAGAAGCACAUCAUGAAGGUGGCACCAAACUAGUUUCCAUGAAAUCCCAGAGAGGCCUGCGAGGGAGGAUGUGAGGGUGGGUUCCUCAGAAAGAUGGGUAUGGAAGGACAAGUAAAACUAAACAAGGGGAAAAAAAGAGAGAACCUUUGAGGCAGAGGGAAUGACAUUCACAAAGGCACAGUCAGUAAACAGCAAGGUAUGUUUGCAGAGCAACACGGAGGGCUGGAUAUGAGGUAUGUGAACAUCGCCAGAGUGACAAGCAGAGCAGAGAAUGCUGAUGAGGUUGGGAAGUCAGACUCCUGGACAUCAGACAAGGGAUCAAAAGCUGAUGUGCACUCAGGAGGUAACACUUCCCCCAUGAAGGCUUCUGUAGCCAAGACCCGCGGCUCCUGAAAGCAAUGAGACUGAAUGGUCCUAGAGCAAUGGAGUUGGGUUAGGCAGUGCAAAUGGAAGCAGCCACAUCAGGAGCAGCUGUCAUCUUUUUAAGAGAAUCUGAAAAGCAGACUAUGUUUUUGGCCCCUUAAAGUGCUAGAAGAGGUGCUAGAGUUAGCUCAGGG